AAAGUGCUGGGAUUACAGGCAUGAGCCACCGUGCCUGGCCUGACUUAGGGUUUUGUAUGUUGACAUACUUCCAGGGUCUUGGAUUCCUUCUAAUUCUUCCCUUUAGGUGGGAUGUCCACGUGCACAGUAGCCUACUAGUGCUUGGGAGAUGAGCAUGCACAGUGUGUUUACUGGAGUUGUACACAUGCUCACUUGAGGUCCUUACCAGUCAGAUGUCCCUGGAAGGUCAUAUACCGUUUAAACCCCGCCCUCCUGCCAUUCUGCCUCUUAAUAUGCAUGCCUGAGCCCACUUGUCCAACUCCUGAGAUCUUAUCGGGAAGCUGCUGCUCACCAGUUUCAGGUGUUCUCUAUCUAUUAGGAGACUGCCUUUCUCUGGCACCGGCUGUGAUCAAUUAUUAUUUUAGAAAGAGAGUCAGCAACCGCCUGACCAUCACCUAAUGGUCACCUCACAUUCCAGGUGUGUGUGUGUGUGUAUGGGUGCUGGGAGCACCUUCCUGCCCUGCUUAUGCCUGACUAGCUACCUACUGUAACAAAUUCACUUCUGGGAUCUAUUUGCCAGUACUUGACUUAGAAUCUUUGCAUCAAUAUUUAUAAGUGAAAUUGGUUUCUGUUUUUCUUUAUCAUACUUUGGUAUUAAGUGUGUUCUAGCGUCUUGGAAUGAAUUAGGGGGAACCUUCCAUCGUUUUCUAUGGUCUGGACCAGUUCGAGUACAUAUUAAAUAUCUGUUCUGUGAUGAUGCGUACUGCCCAAUAUUAAUAAAGGUGUGGAGUAUUACUGAGUUUUUAAUCUUCACUAUUAUGAUCUUAAAAUAUGACCUUUUUUUAAAAGGAGUCCUCUAAAAUACUUUUCUUCCCCCCCUUCCAAGUUGCCAGGUUUUUGGUUAUCUCAUUGUUUUGCUUUUUAUUUCACUUGUGUUUAGAUAAAAAGUUUUUAAAUUUCACAUUUUUAGGCUGGAAACUUACUGCAACAGGAGGGAAUAUUUAGAGAGGAGAGGAACACACACACCAUGCAAGACUUUGUUGUGGCAUAGUUGGAGAUCUGAGAAGGGGAAGGAAACUGGAUUUAUCAGAAAGAGAGAGACCAGGGCUAAAUGUCAAAGCCUGGCUGCAGCCCUGAUUCCUGUAAGCUGAGUGACUUUAUGCAAGCCUUCUCUGACUUCAGGCUGUUUUUCCGUCAUCCAUGUAUCACGUUGAGAACAGCCUAAUGGAAUUGCUGUGAGGAUCAGAAGAAAUAAUAUUCAAGGACUUCUGAACCCUUAAGGCAUUAUUUGAUGCAAAGGGUACUGUUACAGGCUUAUUCUUUUCCAGUGAUUCGUUAUAAUAGAAUACUUCUUCAGUGAAAGGAGAUUUUUAUUUGUAAAUGUUUAGGUAGUUGUUGAUUUUUGUAAGAUAAUCAUUUUUUUUUUUUUUAAAUCAGGGCCUCUAAUGGUCAUGAGAUUAAAAACAGGUUUUAAAUUUCACCCCUUGUUUUUUUCACCAGGGAAAGAGACUAUUUUGUAGCAAACUAGUCUUCUAGCUCAAAGAAAAGAAAAGAGAAAUAUAUGUUUUUUUCUGGCGUGCAAUUUCAAUACCAGUUAAUUGAACUACAUGUUCUGAGCACCUGAAAUGAAAAAUAAUGACGAGUUCAUUCUGUCAAACUGUGUAAUCUCCUAGUCUUAUUGUGAAAACUUGCUGCAUCCUCUUGUGCCCCUUGUAUCUUCUUCACUGUUCACCCUAAGGGCCAAAGGAGAGUUUUCCCCUUGGCCCUGUAAAGGUUCACUGAAAAUCAAUUUACAAAAAGCAGAUUAAUAGGAGAAAAGGCAGAUUUAUUUAACAUGUAUACAUGGGAGCUUUCAGAAUGAAGAUCCAACCCCUCAAUAAGGUACAGAAGCUUAUAUACCACCUUGAGGUUAUAAAAAGAACGCAGGCUCAGAGUGUGGCCCAAAACAGGUUUUAAUGGCAAGACAGGUUAUAGGGGAGAGAAAAAAGGAGGCUUGGCUAGCAAAAGUGGCCUUGUUAUGUGGAUGAAGCCUUAUAGCUAGAACCCCUAGAGAGAAUAGAUAGUAAACAUGUCUUUUCAGACUUGUAAAGGUGUCAGACUCAAUCUCUCCCAGAUCUGUGAAAGGCCUAGAAAGGGAAGGCCUGGCUGCAUUAAUGGAGAUUCUCUACAGAUGCAAAUUUCCCCGACAAGAGACAGCUUUACAAGGCCACUUUGUCUGCUGGCCCUGUGGCAGCCAUUUCAAAAUGUGUCAAAGAAAUAUACUUUGGGGUAAAAUAUUUUUAUUUUCUUCAAGUGCAAUUAACCGUAAAGACAUAAACUGUACCUUUUGCGGGUGGCGGUGAGCGCGGAGAGGAUGCCAUGAAGGCCUUGGGCACACUACGAGAGUGCAAGGUGGUGGGUCGCUGCCCGCCCACCCCCAAAUGCCACACACUGCCCCUAUACCGCAUGCGAAUCUUUGCGCCUAAUGAUGUCAUCGCCAAGACCCGCUUCUGGUACUUCCUAUCUCAGUUAAAGAAGAUGAAGAAGUCUUCAGGGGAGAUUGUCUACUGUGGGCAAGUGUUUGAGAAGUCCCCCUUGCGGGUGAAGAACUUUGGCAUCUGGCUGCGCUAUGACUCCCGUAGCAGCACCCACAACAUGUACCGGGUGUUUCACGACCCGACCAUCGCAUGCGCUGUCAUCCAGUACUAGCGAGACAUGGGCGCCCGGUACGGCGCCUGGACCCACUCCAUCCAGAUCAUGAAGGUGGAGGAGAUCGCAGCCAGUAAGUGCCGCCGGCCAGCCGUCAAGCCACGAUUCCAAGAUCAAGUUCCUGCUACCCCACCCGGUCCUGCGCCAUCAGCACUAGCCGCGCUUCACCACCAGGAGGCCCAACACCUUCUAGGUCCAGGGCCUUCGCCCGGGUGUGCCCCAAAUAAACUCAGGAACGCCCCGGUGAAAAAAAAGAAUGAAAAAAAAGACAUAAACUGUAAAUACUAAGACAAUUGGUCGUGCCUGUUGACGGAGAACACGGCCCCAACCUCCAUGAUGUAAACCAAAAAUAAAAUCUUAAGUCCCCCAGCCAACUGAAUGGACCCUGUCUUGGCCUCAGAGAAAACUGAAAAACUGUGUUUUUGGCCGUGAUGGGAAGGGAGGUUAGACAUACCUCGUUAUACCCUUUCCCUGUCAGAGUUGGGCACAACUGACUAGCAUUAACAUUGAAAUAGAGAUUAUUAGGCUGAUAAAACAGACACUUUGUUGCCACAAAGAGUGGCACAUAAGAUAGCAAAUUCCAACCUGAUUCUGGUAUAGCAUCAUAUGACAGCCGACUCUGAAGGAAAUAAAAAUAUUUUACCCCAAAAAUAUAUUUCUUUGAUAUAUUUUGAAAUGGCCCUGCAAAACUGUUUCCUGUGGGGGGAAUUUGCAUCUGUAGAGAUAUCUCCAUUAAUGUGGCCAGGCCUUCCCCUUCUAGGUCUUUCUGGGAUCUAGGAGAGAUUAAAUGAAUUUGUUACCUUUAAGAUCUGAAAAGAGACAUUUACCUUCUAUGUUCUCUGAAAGCUGCUACCUGGAGGCUUCAUCUGCAUAACAAGAACCUUGGUCUGGCUGGGCCUGUAGCUCACACUUGUAAUCCCACACUUUGGGAGACUGAGGUGGGCAGAUCACUUGAGC